UGGGGAGUACGGUCGCAAGAUUAAAACUCAAAUGAAUUGACGGGGGCCCGCACAAGCGGUGGAGCAUGUGGUUUAAUUCGAUGCAACGCGAAGAACCUUACCUACUCUUGACAUCCAGAGAAGCCAGCGGAGACGCAGGUGUGCCUUCGGGAGCUCUGAGACAGGUGCUGCAUGGCUGUCGUCAGCUCGUGUUGUGAAAUGUUGGGUUAAGUCCCGCAACGAGCGCAACCCUUAUCCUUGUUUGCCAGCGAGUAAUGUCGGGAACUCCAGGGAGACUGCCGGUGAUAAACCGGAGGAAGGUGGGGACGACGUCAAGUCAUCAUGGCCCUUACGAGUAGGGCUACACACGUGCUACAAUGGCGCAUACAGAGGGCGGCGAACUUGCGAAAGUGAGCGAAUCCCAAAAAGUGCGUCGUAGUCCGGAUUGGAGUCUGCAACUCGACUCCAUGAAGUCGGAAUCGCUAGUAAUCGUAGAUCAGAAUGCUACGGUGAAUACGUUCCCGGGCCUUGUACACACCGCCCGUCACACCAUGGGAGUGGGCUGCAAAAGAAGUGGGUAGUUUAACCUUUCGGGGAGGACGCUCACCACUUUGUGGUUCAUGACUGGGGUGAAGUCGUAACAAGGUAACC
rnacentral:rRNA from 1 species